UUUUUCUGGGGAAAUUCCAAGCUUGCAGGAAUUGCCGGGCAGUCGGGUGGCUCAGCGUUUUGCGCAUCAGACUCUUGGUUUCUGCUCAGGUCGUGAUCCCAGGCACCUGUGACCCGGCCCCGCGUCAGGGUUCCUGCAGAGCUGGGAGCCUACGGACUGCUGACCUUCGGGGAUGUGGCCAUAGAAUUCUCUCAGGAGGAGUGGGGAUGCCUGAACCGCAGCCAGCGGGAACUGUACAGGGAUGUGAUGUUAGAGAACUACGGACACCUGCUCUUCUUGGGUCUUGUUGUGUCAAAGCCAGACCUGGUCAUCUUUCUGGA